GCUCCCAUCGUCUAGUGGCUAGGACGGGACCCUCUCACGGUCCAAACAGGAGUUCAAUUCUCCUUGGGAGUACCA
rnacentral:tRNA from 1 species